AAGUGUUGUAUAAAAAUGUAUUUGGAGUGGUACGUAAAAUACUAGGUACCUAGUUGUGUUUGUCUGUGCUCAUGCAGUAUUCACUCAAACCAUACCUAUAUUCUCCAUUAAUUGUUAAAAGAACAUAAAUCAUUUGACUAUUUGGAGUAAAGAAACUAAUAAUAGCAAUAAUGAUUGGAUUUAAGAAAACAUGGCUUUACGUUAUUUUCGUAGUAGCAAUAAUGUUUGUAUCAUCGUCGUAUGGGAUGAGUAUAUUCCAAGCCCAUACGUCGAUGAAUAUGAUCAAAGGAUUGAUCGAUAAUUUCAAUUUGCUUGUAGAAUCACACAAAAAUAAAUCAGCAUCCGUAUAAAAAUUUAUAAAAUAAUAAGGUUAAAUAAAAUAUUUUCUAGUUAGAUAAUAAUUAUAUUAUCUACAUAUUAUAUUAUGUCCCACGUCAUAAGGGAUUUAAUUAAAUAUUUAGGUAUGUACCUACUAAAUGUUUACACAUUUAUAGAUUUAAUUACAAUUCAAUCAAAUAAAUUGGUGAAAUAGAAAAGUAAAUUCAACACAACAAUAUUAAUAUUCUAUAAUUUAAUUGUAAGAAAUAUUGAUUUACCCAAAAAUAAACAUGAUUAAUAAUUAUCGCCGAAUA